GAAACCAAGUCUGAAUAGGGCGCAUAGUCAGUCGGAGUAGACCCGAAACCGGGUGAUCUAUCCAUGUCCAGGUGAAGUGCCCGUAAAGGCAAUGGAGGACCGACCCCACAUNCCGUGAAAAGGGUGGGGAUGAGUGUGNNAUAGGGNAGAAAUNNCCAUCGACCCCGGAGAUAGCUGGUCUUCCUCGAAAUAGCUUUAGGGCUAGCCUCAUACGAGUCUUGCGGAGGUAGAGCACUGAUUCCCUAAGGGGGCGUCAAAGCUUACUAAGGGAUAUCAAACUCCGAAUGCCGUGUAGAUGAUGUAUGGGAGUCAGACGAUCCGAGAUAAGUUGGGUGGUCAAAAGGGAAAGAGCCCAGACCAACAGCUAAGGCCCCAAAAUGUGUGUUAAGUGGAAAAGGAUGUGGGAUUUCGAAGACAACUAGGAUGUUGGCUCAGAAGCAGCCAUUCAUUCAAAGAGUGCGUAAUAGCUCACUAGUCGAGAGGUCCUGCGCCGAAAAUGUCCGGGGCUAAAACACACUGCCGAAGCUUUGGAAUUGAAUUAAUUCAAUUGGUAGAGGGGCAUUCUUAAAGGGACGAAGCAGUACCGUAAGGAGCUGUGGACUUUUAAGAAGAGAGAAUGCCGGAAUGAGUAGCGAGAGGAAGGUGGGAAUCCUUCCGGCCGAAUAUCUAAGGUUUCCAGAGUAAAGCUGAUCUGCUCUGGGUAAGUCGGGGCCUAAGGCGAGGUCGAAAGACGUAGUCGAUGGAUAACAGGUUGAAAUUCCUGUACUAUCCUGUAACAGAACUGUGGGGACACAGGCAGAGAGCGUGAGCCGGGAAUGGAAAGACCGGUACAAGCGAGGUAGGAGAAGAGUUGGCAAAUCCGCUCUUUAAUCUAAAGACGUGAUGUGGACUGAAAAUAAGUAGGGAAGCACGUGAGCUGACUGUCAAGAAAAGCCGCUAUUGUUUGCAGGAUACCCGUACCGUAAACCGACACAGGUGGAUGAGGAGAGAAUCCUAAGGCCGACGGGAGAAGCAUUGUUAAGGAACUCGGCAAAAUGACUCCGUAACUUCGGGAGAAGGAGUGCCAGCGAGAGCUGGCCGCAGAGAAUUGGCCCAAGCAACUGUUUAGCAAAAACACAGGUCUAUGCAAAACCGUAAGGUGAAGUAUAUGGGCUGACGCCUGCCCGGUGCUGGAAGGUUAAGAGGAGAGGUUAGCGGUAACGCGAAGCUUUGAAUUUAAGCCCCAGUAAACGGCGGCCGUAACUAUAACGGUCCUAAGGUAGCGAAAUUCCUUGUCGGGUAAGUUCCGACCCGCACGAAAGGCGUAAUGAUUUGGGCACUGUCUCAACAAUGCACCCGGUGAAAUUGAAAUACCAGUGAAGAUGCUGGUUACCUGCGCCAGGACGGAAAGACCCCAUGGAGCUUUACUCCAGCUUGAUACUGGGAUUCGGUAUUGCAUGUACAGGAUAGGUGGGAGGCUAGGAAGUGAUAACGCCAGUUGUCACGGAGCCGCUGUUGGGAUACCACCCUUGCAGUAUUGGAUUUCUAACCAGCGACCAUGAACUGGUCGGGGGACAAUGUCAGGUGGGGAGUUUGACUGGGGCGGUCGCCUCCGAAAGGGUAUCGGAGGCGCUCAAAGGUUCCCUCAGAAUGGACGGAAACCAUUCGAAGAGUGCAAAGGCAGAAGGGAGCUUGACUGCGACACCGACGGGUGGAGCAGGUACGAAAGUAGGACUUAGUGAUCCGGUGGUAUAAAGUGGGAUUGCCAUCGCUCAACGGAUAAAAGCUACCCUGGGGAUAACAGGCUUAUCACUCCCAAGAGUUCACAUCGACGGAGUGGUUUGGCACCUCGAUGUCGGCUCAUCGCAUCCUGGGGCUGAAGUAGGUCCCAAGGGUUGGGCUGUUCGCCCAUUAAAGCGGUACGCGAGCUGGGUUCAGAACGUCGUGAGACAGUUCGGUCCCUAUCCGGCGUGGGCGUAGGAUAUUUGAGAGGAGCUGUCCUUAGUACGAGAGGACCGGGAUGGACGAACCUCUGGUGUAUCUGUUGCAUUACCAAAUGCAUGGCAGAGUAGCCAAGUUUGGAAGGGAUAAACGCUGAAGGCAUCUAAGCGUGAAGCCCCCCUCAAGAUGAGAUAUCCCAUACGAAAGUAGUAAGACCCCUUGA
rnacentral:rRNA from 1 species